CUGAGAGUAGAACUGUAUUUGAGAUAUGGAAACUCCUAUCUUAUAUCUAAAAACCAUUGUUGCUACCUGGUUGAGCUCCAGUUCCACUUCCUGGGUGAUUGGGACCAUCCUCCCCAUCCUGUGUGGCCUGGUCCUCUUCCUCCGUUCCUUCCCUCCCUCCAGAGGAAUUCGUCCUUACAACCACCUUACAAAAGGAGAAAGGUCAGGAAGCGUCAAGUGCAGCCGAGAGGGAGGAGCAGCAGGAACAGCAAGAAAAGGGGAGCUUUGAAAGCUUACAGAGCUGGCCAGAAGGACAUGGCAGAAGUGGGGAGUCUGAUGUCCCCUUCGCAAAGGAAGGUCCCUGUGGCAGGCUUCACUCAGUUUCAGAAUUCCAGUUGCCUGGGACUGCUGACUUUCAACCUGGAUGAGACUGCAUGUGGG
rnacentral:lncRNA from 1 species